GGGGAUUUAGCUCAGUGAUAGAGCACUUGCCUAGCAAGCACAAGGCCCUGGGUUCGGUCCCCAGCUCCA
rnacentral:tRNA from 1 species